GUUUCGACGGCCUGUUCCUGACGACGCCCGCCAUGCCCUUGCGGGAGGAGGGAUACGAACGGAAGGGGCGGUCCGGUCCAGGGAAUGAUGACUACCAUCUCCAUCGCCCGGCAAGAAGCCACGCAUUUCGGUGGAGGAAAAUUUCAGAAGCAAAAUUGUGCAGCAUUGUAGGCGAGUUCAAAAGCAGUCCGUUGCAACACCAUAGAGGAUUUGAAUGGAAACAAAUAUUGGUUCUCCGUUUUUUGUACUUUUGCCAUGUGAAAACUGCAGAAUGAUUUUCAGAAUGAGGCAAACUAUACCUCCCACAUGCUCCAAGAGAUACAGUGCCGUUCUUGCGCUGCCACUCUGGUGAGUCCACUCACAACCAGCAUGUUUCCGUCCGAUUCCUAUUUGGAAGCGCCCACUGAGUGUUUUCUUGUCUUUGCGAUUCAUUUGUUUAGAGACCUGAUGAUCUAGGAUAUAUGAAAUUCUGGACAACCAUCUCGAUAUGACCAUGAAAAACUUGCAGGCAAAAUUUUAAUCAAAUCAAUAUCCAAUGCAUUUUUGUUGGUACAAAAGAGCUAUUUGAUUCACACUGAAAUAACAAAAUAUGUGAUAAACAUAAAACCCAACAUACUGAGUUUCAAACCUCGGGCCUAAAAGAAGGCCAAAAACUGGUGGGCAUAGAAGUGUUAAGUCAUAAUCGUUAGUGUGGUUCAAACAUGGUAUUUGAUUAUAUGCCACUGUAGUUUUACCUUAUGGAAUAAAUAAUUCCACCAUUAUUAGAAAACAAAAGGAGAAGAUCCGAACCUUCUAUUUGGUAACGAUUAUUUUAGCACUGAGAUAUAACAGUUUUCACCAACAAAUAAUUUCUCGGAUUCUACUCCUCAUAAUUACUUGAGUGAAAAAGAUUCUUUCCAUGGGGAGAACAGUUUGAUUGAGAUGUUUAUUAUGUCAUUCGACUUAUAUCCCGGUCUUGUUCUAGCUAUGCAAAAUCUAAUCGUGGCUCCUGGUUUCAGGUUUGUCUCAAGUUUGUAGAUAAAAUUGAUUUGAAUAAGCAAAUAGAUAAGAUAUAAAUAUGUUUUUUCAUGUGACCCCGAAUGUCAAGCACUGCAGUAGUACUUUAAGGUUAGAGCGUAUUAGAGGAUAUAUGUAUUCAUUCAAGAAUCGAGAUUUUCCUACAGUAUCUUAUUUUAGCAGUUUCUUGUUCUAUUUUCGGAUUCUUGCUAUUUCUUGAUCCGUGUAUUUGAAAUCAAGUGCAUGAGAAGCAUGCAUCUUCUAAUGCUAUUAUGUUUUUAAGUCUCCGGAUGUGCUGCGUAUAUGUUUUCCAGGAUGGUAAUCAUGCCACAUCGCUUAUUAAAUCCAUUCUCAAAUCAUACCUAUUUCAUUAUAGAGAAGAUCACAAGCACCCCAGGCUCCUUUUUUCGUAGUCGUCGCAGGUCUUUUUUGUUCUUCACACUAUUUAUGGGGCUGUUUUCCUUAAGGGAAAAAAUAUAUUUGAUGUUCAUUUCGUGCCCGAUGUUUAAACAAAGGGAAUUAUACAAGUCAUACUUUUUUUGGUUCGAUUCAGAUAUGAUGUUUUCCUAUUUGCGUUUACCAAAAUGAACCCAAAUGCAAAUGAUCCAUUAAAUCUCCUUUUAUUUUCUUGGAGUUGUCGUACAUUAACUGUUACCGUAACUUCUCAAUAAUAUUAACAUAUGUUCUUGUGUGGCCUUGGGAAGCCAAUUCCAAAGUUCAAUCUUGUCAUGGAAACUAAAGUAGUUGCAUAUACUAUCGUCUUCCAGAAUAAAUACAUGCUGAUCAGGUAUAUCCUGGUGUAUCUCUCGACUGAAAUGGAUAUGGAGGCUCCAAGGAGCAAGAUAAAUUAUGUGUAAAUACAAGUGUGAUCGUUGACGUGGGCUUAAAACAUGUUUUCGUUUGCCGAUCCUCCGAGGGCUUCAGCAGGGGAUUGGCAGCAGCAUCCCACCCAUGCCCGUUGGUAUUGUCAGAACUCUGAAAUUAACUCCACUACAAGCACUGACAUGUUCCCCAUAUGCCAAAUAAUCUCUAUGUGAUGCUUGAAUGUAUGGUGUUUCUACUGUGAUACUGAUUGCAGGUGGGAAGCGCUAGCUGAUGUUAACUCCCAUUUUGGCAUACAAAGCUGAACCAGCUGGUUGUUUCUCAGGCAAUAAAACAUUAAGUUUUUUUUUUCAGUUCAUGGUAUUAGAGACCAGCUGGCUGUUUCUCAGGUAAUCCCUUUUGGACUCGACUUAUACCAUUAAGACUUUUCUUCCCUAGGAAAGUCAACCAUGUAUAUUCAGACUAGCUCAACAAAACGGUGUGGUGAACUGCACAUGAAUUCUGAUUGUGCACCUAUCUUAACAGGAGACUAUAAUAUUCCUGGGAACAUACAACAUAGGUCCAAUAGAAGGUGGUAUCGUUUUGUUCGCCUAUAUAUGGAUGGAACAUUUGUUUUGUCUGUUUUAUUAAGACCUCCUUCUACCAUUUUCUUCCAUUCAUAAAACAAUAUUGACUAUUAGAAGCAUGAUAUAAUUUUUUGGAACCACAGAAGCUUGAUAUAAUUGUAGCUUGCUCUAUGAUCGUGCAGUUUUCUCUUACUAUGUCAAGAGAAAUAACCUGUAGUGAGACCUACAUAUUAGGGAGAGUAUGAAUUGAUGACUGAUUGUCUGAUCUGUAUUUAAACUGGAUGUUUUUGUAGUCUUAGAUUAGAGCUGCCAGUAUAAAAGUGAAAUUCAUGUCACUCUGCCCUUAACCUACGAAGGAAGGUUUUUGAGAAUAAUAGAGAUGGAGAGACCAGAGAUAUCUUGUAAAUUUGUAAAUAUACUGAAUAUUUGUGGGAGUGCAUACCACUGAAGGUCUAUUGCCUGCAUGCAACGUAUUGAUUUUUACUGAACAAUUACUACUGUAGCUUGCUGCUGUGAAGUGGAUUAGGGUACGUCCUGAACAAUUACUACAAGCUUGUUCUCUCAGCCCUGCCUUUUUCUUACAGAAAGACGUCCAAACACGGUACAUUAAAGCACUCUAUUAGUCACUUCCAUGUGCACUAAAUAUAUUUCAACUCUUGGCUCUGAAUACAAAAUUCCAACUCAGGAAUUUGGAUCCGCUCUUUUGGCAAACCUAAUUUGAAUUAUGUCAUAAAAGAUUAACAAUUGGAAAACUGGUAAUAAUGAUAUUAUUUUUCUCAGUGACAUGAAGCCAAUUCACCCUUUGCUAUAAGAGAAAUGAUAUUGGAAUAGUAUUAUAUUAUUAUUAUUCAAUUCUCGGCCUGCUAUCAGGUUCUAAAACUUAAUUAUGUUUUGGUUAUGGCUUGUGUUGUAUCCAAAUAAGUAAGUAGAUUUAUGGUCAGGGUGAAUAUUGUUGCCAAGAUCCUGUUCCCCUGUUGCUUCUUUAAGUCUUUCAAGAUGAGCUGACCAUUGCUUCUGUUUAAGUCAUUCAACAUGAGCUGACCAAAUCUUUAUUUCAUUCGCUUGUUCAAAGCAACUAAAUUUAAUUCUUUUGCAGGCCUCUCUUGGAAAAUAUGCGAGUUUAUGGUUAAUUCUUGACAAGACAUUUCAUAAAUGGAUAAUAGCUUACUGUAGAAGAAAGGACGGUGAUAGCAUGAUCAAACUUUUUAAUAUAAGGUUCGUAACCACAUGGCCAGUAUGCAUUAGUGUAACUGCUGGGGACUGUUCAAGCAGAUGAAUUGGUGCAGCAGGAGUCUAGCAUUGCUAGAGAAGAUCACCACAGGUAUAAGAGGGCAUGUAGAAUAUGAUAAAAUAUUCACUAUAAUUAGCAUACCUUGGAUUUUGUCAGAGGCAUAUCUGAUGCGGAAGGAGGGGAUUACAAUGGAACUUCAUCAGUUCCAUUUGAGUGAGUUUUCACUGUGUUCAGAUCAAACCUGAAUUCAAAGUAGACAUGUGAGGAUAGUAGCAAUGGUAAUUAUUGUUAGUAGCAGCACCUGAUAUAUGUCUUUAUAUCAUGGUCUGCUUAGUUUUGAGUAGAGAUUAUAACAAUUAGUGUGGAAACUAUAACAAAUUAAAUACUUUGCUGGCUGGUGCUGAUGGUUGGCUGGAAGUACUACCUUUGACAUAUAUAUUUUUGUUUAAGCCAGAAGAAAAAUGGCCAAAUUCAAACGCAUUUAUAUUCUAAUGAACUGUUGUCACACUUUUAGCCUUGAAAGAUAGGUUCUCGCAAUUUUUUAUUGAGAGUAGAUUGUGUGAUAACUGAUGUUAUUUUCAGCUGGAACAUUGUUUAAACUUCGUGCUGCAGUAAGAACUUCAAUUUUCUACUACAUUGAAAUAUCAAUUGAUUUAAUCUCUGGUGUUGAAAAAACAUUGUAUCAUUUCUACAUGAUGGUCUCCUACUGCCUAUGGGGAGGCUUUUAUAAAGAAAUACAAGAAGGGUUACAAAAUUUCAAUAUGUUUUAAAUUCUGAUAGCGCAGACAUUUGCAAAUAUUCCAAUAUGAUGUAAAUUCUACAUAUAUUUAAGAACAUAAAUACUUUUAUAAGUGUUACAAAAAUAUCAAAGUAUUGGCAAGCAAUAUAUGUGUGCACAUUGUAGAUUCAUUACAGAAGGGAGGUACACAUGAUCUCAAGGGACCUGUUUUGGCUCCACAUAAUUUGGCAACAAAUAUCGACAACAUGGGCUUCUUUUGGCUCGAUACAAUGUCAAAAUAUUUUGCAAGUUUGAUUUCUCACCUAGAAUUUGAAACCUAUAGUUGUUACAUGUUUGUUUUCCUUUUGCUGGCAAGAUGGGAUAAUAGGAUGUUAUGAUAUUCCUGAUUUGUUUUAAAUUAGGCAUUGUGUUACACAUCAGCUCAAGCCGUCUGCUUUACAACAUGGUUAGUCAUUGAGUUAGGCAUGUGCCGAUGCACAUGUUUGAGAUGUCACAGUGUAUUAUCAUGUUGUAGUAUGUUAUGUUAUUACUGAUUUUUUUUUGAAUUUUCGUAGUGAGUUGUGAAUUAUAUAUGUGUAUUGAAAAAUAAAAUUUGAAGAUCCGUGGCAACGCACGGGCAUUUGAACUAGUCCACAUAAACGAACCAGGUUCUGACCAGGCUAGAAACUCAUAAAGCCUGAGUCAAGGUGAUUCAUUACAAGUUCUUGGUUGUUAUCAUUCGCAAAAAAAAAGUUUUUGGUGGUUAUAUUGUGUUGUGUUGUGCUUACUUUAUAAUCCACUCUCUAAAAGUACCCACACAAAACUAUAAUAAGGGGUCAAAUAAACAUGAAAAAUAGGCUAAACGGAUGGGGUAACGCGAUAUCACAAAUUUCAACUUUUAUAGAUGAUGAGACUUCGGCCAUGGGACAAGAAGUGUCUGGAGGGGAAUGAAGUAAUAACACGAUGACAAAACUUGCUUAAUUUGUGCAUGUCUGGCGUUGUCAACCAUUGGUCCUCUUUAAGAACCAUUACCCUGAAUUUUCUAUUUGAAGCUCCGAGUCAAUCCUUGGUGUAACCGAAAUCCCAACCGUUAGGAUAUGAGUAUUUCACUGCCUUUUUCUACUACUCCGUUUUUCUUUUGACCUUACUACUCCGUAUUUGAAAUGCUCACAA